rnacentral:tmRNA from 1 species
AAACGGUUUCGACUUCGCGCAUCGAAUCAAGGGAAGCGUGCCGGUGCAGGCAAGAGACCGCGUCGUUGCAACCAAUUAAGCGCCGAUUCCAAUCAGCGCGAUUACGCUCUCGCUGCCUAAGCGAAGCUAAUCCGUCAGACCGGGACUGCCCUCGACCCGGACCCUGGCGUCAUCUAGAGGGACCCACCCACGGGUUCGGUCGCGGAACCUGUGGGGACAUCAAACAGCGACUGGGAUCGUCAUCCUGACUUGUUCGCGAGAUCAGGAGAUCCGAGUAGAGACAUAGCGGACUGCGCACGGAGAAGCCUUGAGGGAAUGCCGUAGGACCCGGGUUCGAUUCCCGG